AUUGUUUGUCUCCAUAUUCUUAAAGAAUACUACUACAUGUUUUUUAAUCUGCAUUAAAUUCUCGAAACAUGUGAAGUACAGCACGAAUGAUUUAUUGUUUUGAUGAUGUUUUAAUUAAAUGGAAUAAAUAUCUAUGAAAGCAGUCAACCAUAUUUAUAGGACGUAGAAAGCUAUUUGAAAGAACAAAUCCGUUUGCAUUCAGUUGUGAAUUGUCAUAACUAACUUACCUGUACUUAGAAUUAUUAUUAAAGUUAAUCUUGCAAAUAUUUUAUAACAUUGCAUUUUGUUUUCACAUCUUAUAAUUUAUUAUAGUCCUACAUGUGUUUAUAUUGUUUAUUUCGAUUUUGCUAGUUGCUUCCUAAUUUUUCAUAUUCAGCUUUUUACUUAGUAUAUACAUAUCUUGUUAUUCUGAUUAACUAAAUGUACAUAUAUUGAUAUUGAUAUUUUUUGUUGUUUAAUAUUAUUUUUAUUUCUUUACUUCACUUCAUCUAUUCACUGUUUUUGAUAAUUUCGUGGAAUAAGGUGAUGAAUCUGUUAUAAUGGUUAACGUAACAACUUUUGACAACAAUUUUGAUAAUUAAGUAUCUUUAAUGUUUAUGACUAAAAUUGCAUUUAAUAAAAUUGAGCGACACAAACAAGAGGUAAGUAAUUUUACCUUAAGUUCUUAAUUCUAAUCAAAUCAAUAUACUACUUUGCCCUAUAAGUAUCUAAAUACAAUAAUGUCAACUGAUACAACUUUUCACUGUUUAUUUUUUAUUGAAAAGAAUUGCGUUUUUAAUCAUGUUGAUCUCAAUCAAAUAAAUAUACUACUUUGCCCUCUUAGUAUAAAAAAACAUGUGGUAUCAUUGUCAACUGAGACAACUCUUCUUUUUUUAUUUGAAUAGCAUUAUCAAGAUUAUGUUGAUAAAAUCAGUUUAAUUCACCAAAUCUCGUGGUUCGAAAAAAUGAUUUGUUUCCCUAUUUUAUACAAAUGUACUUUUUCUAAGUCGUUUAACACGCGAAAAUAUAAAAAUAAAAAACAAUCUCUGAGAGCUUUAUCAACACUUUUCUUUUUUGCAUUUUAAUUCAUCUCAUCUGAGUGUGGUGCAGCACCGUCAGUACCGGAUUGACGUCAGGGUGAGAUGUAUAGAUCAUACAAUCAGCAACAUAACAUUGGUAUAGAUCAUAGAUGUAUCAACUUAACAAGGAUUGAACUAAAGUGCAGCAAUGUUAUUCUAACGUCAAACAAAACUGAAAUUUUACAUAGAAAGGUACAAAUGGCCGUUUACUAUACCUUUAAAAUUAUUGUGUGGAUGCAAAAAUCAAUUAUUGAAGCUUUGUCAGUAUUUAGCUCAACUUUGCAUGGUCAAACUGAAUUGAUAAAACGCUGCAAAAGCUGUUUAAAAAUCCAUUAAAGUUUACUAUGUCAACGGAAGAUAAAAAUUUUCAAAAGAUGACAAUGAUUUAAUUGAUAUCAGGAAAAAGAUAAAUUUAAGAACAAAACUUGAAAACAAACCGAAAGUUCUAAAACUCAUUAAAGGAUUAGACGUUCGCAUAUUUCGAUUGAAAUCACGAAUGAACAAGGGAUGCAUGAAUUAUACAAUCAACUAUUGUAUGGAUAAUAUUCGCAUGCUCUUUCAGUAGACAAGGAUUUCAAUGUUACGAAUUUUGCAACAAAAUAAAACAUAUGUGAUACACCAGGACAUUUCCUGAAUGUUUAUGAAAUUUAAACAUCGGUCAACUACUGCAGCUAUAAUUCAUCAUCAAACGGUUAACAGUUUUACAGGUGGAUAUUACUUUUUCCCGAAGAUUUCCAGCCGGGUAGCUUAACUGCAUGCGAAAUAUCAAAAGAUGAAUCUAUGCGCUGGAUGACAAGUCGUCAUGGAUAAAAUGGUGUCAGUGGGGGUGUUGUCAAAAACACAACAACGCCGAAAGAAAUAGGUUUACUGUAGGUUCAUUUUAAAAGAUUUCAUGAGGACAAUGUCUUUUUCAUUCUGUGAAUUCCUCAUUGUACUGCACACAUUUAUACUGGUGUAUGCAUAGUCGGCAAUAUGAUGUGCAUCUUACAGAUACAUAAGAUCCAGACAAUUUUUAGUCAUUAAAUCUGUACAAUUUUUUUCGUGAAUUUAAAAUGUGUAUUUUGGCGUGUUCUGGGUAAGAAGUCCCCCCUCCCAUUUGAUGUAUAUUUUGGUUGAAUAAAACUGGCUAGUUUUGGUCAGGGUUUGCAUUGAAAAUUUAAGCAGAAACUUGGAAUAGUUAUGUAUUGAGACGCAGUUUAUUUAGAAAGCGGUUCGCGGGUUAAUUUAGUUAAAUUAUAAGCUGAGUUUUAGAAUAGUUCUUUGAACUGAAUAAACGUUGUCAGUUUGCGAAUAUCGAAAUUCGAUUUACUGUUCAGUUUGUCAGUCGUUUAAGUUAAAGUUAUUUAUAGAUUGCUUGAAAACGAUUAAAGUUCGGGGUCAUUAUUUGCUGACAUUUUCGUACGUGUCUCAAAUCUAUGACUUAAACUUAAAGACAGACAUUUAAAGUAUUAAAACGUUAAGGGUUUUUUAAAUGCAAACCCUAGCCAGAAUGACAUAGUGAUAUUUUUUAGAAAAAAAUUACAGUUGUAAAAACAUUUAACAUUUUGGUCUUAGAAAUAUAGAGACUGUUGAAUCAGAGACCAUUCAAUAACAGAAUCAUACAUGUGCUUGAGACGCAGCUGAAUCCUAUUGUCUUUUAACAACUGUGUGUUGUUAAAUAAAAGUUGUACUUUA